CCGCGUGCCUUUAGAUUCUUUAAAACUUCGAUUUUCCCAGUUAAAUAGUAGGUAAACUAUGCCACUCUCCAUGUCUUUAACUAUACACAUGCCAAUAAUCACGUCAAUCUGUAGCUCCGUUACGACGUGAUUGAAAGACAAACCAAUAACCCAACAAACAAACACAUUUUGCAUUUAUAAUAUGGGUCCUGAUUGAUGUAAA